rnacentral:rRNA from 1 species
UACAGAGGUCUCAAGCGUUGUUCGGAUUCAUUGGGCGUAAAGGGUGCGUAGGCGGCGUCGGUAAGUCGGGUGUGAAAUCUCGGGGCUUAACUCCGAAACUGCAUUCGAUACUGCCGUGCUUGAGGACUGGAGAGGAGACUGGAAUUUACGGUGUAGCGGUGAAAUGCGUAGAUAUGACAUAGAACACCAAUUGCGAAGGCAGCUGGCUACACAAAUAUUGACGCUGAGGCACGAAAGCGUGGGGAUCAAACAGG